AACGAACGCUGGCGGCAGGCUUAACACAUGCAAGUCGAGCGCCCCGCAAGGGGAGCGGCAGACGGGUGAGUAACGCGUGGGAAUCUACCCAUCUCUACGGAAUAACGCAUGGAAACGUGUGCUAAUACCGUAUACGUCCUUCGGGAGAAAGAUUUAUCGGAGAUGGAUGAGCCCGCGUUGGAUUAGCUAGUUGGUGGGGUAAAGGCCUACCAAGGCGACGAUCCAUAGCUGGUCUGAGAGGAUGAUCAGCCACACUGGGACGAAGACACGGCCCAGACUCCUACGGGAGGCAGCAGUGGUGAAUAUUGGACAAUGGGCGCAAGCCUGAUCCAGCCAUGCCGCGUGAGUGAUGAAGGCCCUAGGGUUGUAAAGCUCUUUCACCGGUGAAGAUAAUGACGGUAACCGGAGAAGAAGCCCCGGCUAACUUCGUGCCAGCAGCCGCGGUAAAAC
rnacentral:rRNA from 1 species